rnacentral:sRNA from 11 species
AUGGGUCGCACUCCGGUUCCGAGCGCGCUAUCCACGCUCGCCUGAAGGCUGCUCGCUUCGUUUUGGUAGCC